rnacentral:rRNA from 1 species
CGAGGAACAAUUGGAGGGCUAAGUCUGGUGCCAGCAGCCGCGGUAAUUCCAGCUCCAAUAGUGUAUAUUAAAGUUGCUGCGGUUAAAAAGCUCGUAGUUGGAUUUCGGAGUUGUUAUCUGAACCUUCUCGCCCUAAAAAGUGGGGGGCUAGGUAGCAGUAGUUUUCAUCAUAGUCCAUCAGGAUACUCUCUUGAUGUGUACUGGGGUGUUAACCUCCUUUUUUUUCUGGUACUUGCUAUCCAGCAAUGGGUAGUUUUGUCCAGAUAGUUUACUUUGAAAAAAUUAGAGUGUUCAAAGCAGGCAUAAUUGGCAUCAUGAAUACAUUAGCAUGGGAUAAUAGAAUAUGACAUUGGUCUUAUUUUGUUGGUUUUCUAAGGCCAAAGUAAUGAUUGAUAGGGAUAGUUGGGGGCCGCUCGUAUUGAGUUGUCAGAGGU